ensembl:lncRNA
GGAUAAGCUUUCUGCUAAAGGCAUAACUGGGCCAUUACAUUCUUGGCUACAGAACUACCUGGAAGGAAGGUCCAUCCAGGACGUGCUCUCUGGUCAGUCCUCAUCACCUCAACCAAUCAACGCCUCGGGGCCCCAGGGAUCCAUUCUCGGCCCGCUAUUAUUCUCCAUCUUCAAUCCUGCCCGGACCUUUUUUUGGGGGCAACCAGAAUUGACCUUUGUGAGCAGUUGAAUAUUCUGGGACUACGUAUCGAUAGGAAGUUGCUAUGGACUAAUCACCUGUCAAACAUCUGCAAGCGUGCUGGACAGCGUCUUGGAGCUCUGCGUAGGUUAACCAACAAGCUUGAUGUUAAAGGUAGGGCCAAUGUCUACAAGGCACAAGUCAGGAAUACCAUGGAGUACUCUUGCCUUGCCUGGAUGAACGCAUCACAGACCACCCUUGGGCAGCUUGACAACAUCCAGAACAAGGCACUGAAAAUCAUUGGGGAGGAUGAGGACACUGCCCUAAGGAAAUAUGCAAUUAGCCAGCUCAGCCAACGUAGAACUGUUGCAGCAACAACUGUGCUUUUUAAAAUGCACACUGAAAACUGUCCAGAGGAUCUCAAAGCUCUGCUACCCCCACCAGAUCUCCUUUGCCGAACCACUCGGAGAGCACGACCAAGUCACGCCCUAAAACUCCCCAAGUCCAACACCAAAUGCUUGGGGAGGAGUUUUCUUCAUUCGGCUGUAACAACUUGGAACUGCCUCCCCUGUACUGUGAGAGCGCAUGAUAGUGAUGUGUGAGAUUGACAUGGCAUUUCACACGUUUCGCCACUGGUGGCAGUCUUUCACACUGUCUGUGGAGAGAGAACAGAGCUACCCCUCAAUAGACAAAGAUGUCCAUGUAGAGAACCAUGUGUGUUUCUGGUCACAGUGAGUAUUCUGAUGGAUAUGUCAAGUACCAGUGCAGCCAGAGUCCUACAAUUACAGAGAGUACAUCCCUGCCAAGUUGCUGCAAUACUUUUUGUUUAAAACACAUUCCACUAAACAAGCUGCUCCACUGCUGCUGUACUGUUACGUUUACUCCUCAGUCUAGGGGGUUGAGGAGGGAGUAACAAGGAGAAAACAAAGAUGUGACUAAAAUAAAAUUAGCCAAAAAAAAAAUGAAACA